UCGGGCCAACCCCAAGCGCCGCUGACCCCGAACGUCGCUGCGGGGUGUUGGCAAAGCAGGUACCAGUAUUUCACGGAAGGAGAAGGAAGAACCGCCCAGGACUGUGUAUAAAUGUCUAUGGGAAUAUUUUUAAGGAUUCAAAAGGCUAGAAGGAGGUGAGAUCAAAAAAUUUUUCCAGCACCACCCAGUGCAACCCGAUCCUGGACACAGAAAUCUAAAAGAUGAUACUUAAAUACUUGAGUUUGAGAGCCUCUAGUUAUAAGGUUUCCUACGUAAAAUUUUGCUGUGAAACUAAAACUGCUAAGAAAAUAAAGUCUUAAAAAGAAAAAUCAAUGGAGAAGGGAAAGGCUAUGAUAAGAGGAGAUGAAUGCCUGCUAAAGCGACCAGAAGGCUCUCAGUAAAAAGUAUUCACUAGGUAUCAAUAGAAUCUGCAAAACGAAGAGGUGCUUGAAAGAUGUGAAAGAGGAAACUUAAAGAGAAACCCAGAUGGUACAUCUCUCUUCCUGGCUAGGUAGAUGGAAUGUACAGCCAGAGGAUUGGAUGAGGUCAUCGACGGAGAGAAUGCAGAGAGAAUCCUGGGGCUCACCAACAUGAAGAAUUUGGGACAAGAAAGAAGAUCCAGCAGAGAAGACUGAAAGAAGGCAACUAAUGAAAUAGGAGAGAACCUGGAGAGCACAGAGUCUUAGAGGCCAAGAAAGUGGUUUAAUAUAAUCCGUAUCAAAGCAUUUGU
rnacentral:lncRNA from 1 species